AGAGUUUGAUCCUGGCUCAGGAUGAACGCUGGCGGCGUGCCUAAUACAUGCAAGUCGAACGCUUCACUUCGGUGAAGAGUGGCGAACGGGUGAGUAAUACAUAAGUAACCUGGCAUCUACAGGGGGAUAACUGAUGGAAACGUCAGCUAAGACCGCAUAGGUGUAGAGAUCGCAUGAACUCUAUAUGAAAAGUGCUACGGGACUGGUAGAUGAUGGACUUAUGGCGCAUUAGCUUGUUGGUAGGGUAACGGCCUACCAAGGCGACGAUGCGUAGCCGACCUGAGAGGGUGACCGGCCACACUGGGACUGAGACACGGCCCAGACUCCUACGGGAGGCAGCAGUAGGGAAUUUUCGGCAAUGGGGGAAACCCUGACCGAGCAACGCCGCGUGAAGGAAGAAGUAAUUCGUUAUGUAAACUUCUGUCAUAGAGGAAGAACGGUGGAUAUAGGGAAUGAUAUCCAAGUGACGGUACUCUAUAAGAAAGCCACGGCUAACUACGUGCCAGCAGCCGCGGUAAUACGUAGGUGGCGAGCGUUAUCCGGAAUUAUUGGGCGUAAAGAGGGAGCAGGCGGCACUAAGGGUCUGUGGUGAAAGAUCGAAGCUUAACUUCGGUAAGCCAUGGAAACCGUAGAGCUAGAGUGUGUGAGAGGAUCGUGGAAUUCCAUGUGUAGCGGUGAAAUGCGUAGAUAUAUGGAGGAACACCAGUGGCGAAGGCGACGAUCUGGGCUGCAACUGACGCUCAGUCCCGAAAGCGUGGGGAGCAAAUAGGAUUAGAUACCCUAGUAGUCCACGCCGUAAACG
rnacentral:rRNA from 1 species